CCCAGCAGACAGGAAGAGAGUUGUGGCACGUGGGGAGAGAUAUGGGGUCAGCGUCAGGGGAGAUGGUGAGCUUCAGUGUGGAGCACGUGGAUGGCCGUGCUCAGCAUGCAGGCUGCUGAGUUGUAGCUGCGUGUGGUUUCCAUGGAGUCCCCAUGGCAUGUCCCAGCUAGAGCGCACUGCAGAAGUUUUCAUGGUGAGCAUGUUUUCCUGUUUCCCAGGUGCAGCCUGUCUGGUUGCAUUCCACGCCCUCUACACCAGGCAGUUCACCACUGUCAGUGCCUCUGAGAAACAUGCUGUCUGCGUGACAUCUGUGUUCUGAAGUAUGUUUUUGAAGGGAAACUGUGGCAAAAUGCAUCUUCCUGUGCACACUGUAGGCACAGCUCUAAAAGCAGUGGCUCCCUGAAAUGAAGAGCUUAUUAAAAGCAUAUUUGUUAAGAAUCUCAAGCCACGAAGCCCUUGUGAUUAUAUAAUAGCUCUCAAGAGGAAGCUGCUAACAAGCCCAUCUGAUAUUUUGUGCCAGCUGUUUUAGUGGAGGCGUGUUGGAUUAGACAGAACUCCGCCUUCUUUGACAAGAACUAUUCCGAAGAGGCUCCUAAAUAAUAUGUUAUCUCCUAUUCAGAGAAGUUAUUUUGCUGGUUACUUAAGCACAUCUGUAACUGUGCUUUUCCUCUGGGACCCCUCAAGUCAGAAUGCAUUGCAAAUGCUAAUAUAUUCAUUAAAUCUGCAAAGCAUUUGGAAAGUGACAGAGCCUGAAGAAAAAGGGAAUUCAAAAUCUGGCUCUCCAGUUUUCUCCUGGACCUAUCUGGUCUUCUGUAUCCAUGGACAAGUGGGCUGCUGCAGGAGUGGUGUACAAGCCCCACCAUUAGCCAGUCUCUCUGUACUAUGCAGCAACUUCUGCUAAGUUCCUUGUUCCGGGCUGUGGCUACAUGAUUAAACUCUCAUGCUGAUCUUAACAGUUCAGGGAUCAAUAUUUUUGAAAGAGCAGGAAGGAUUGCACUGGUGUAAAGCAGUGUGUCUGCUGCUCACUUUGCUUAAGAGAGCUGCAAGACUGAAAGAACAUUUAUGCAAGUCAGUCAGUCUUGGGGCAGUGGCAGAGUGCAGUCUGUGAAUUAUGCUGUUACACACAGACAUCUGAAGAGGAUUUUUCUCUUCUUUUGUUGGUUGUUGAAAUAUGGAUAAAAUUUCAGUACCUGCUAAAUUUUGGGCAAUAAAAGUCAUUUUUAUGAAGACA
rnacentral:lncRNA from 1 species